rnacentral:lncRNA from 1 species
CCACUGUAGCGAGCAGCAAGGUGUAGGAUAGUCAAUCCAGUAUAGAUCUAUACACAAACUCAAUACGCUCCCCAAUGAAGGAGAUUCUGAUACAAAAACAGUCAUGGCAGGUAGUGCCAUGCCCUGCUUAAUGGCUCACAUAAAUGUGGUUAAUGUAUAUGAAAUAUGAUUUGUGUGCUAGCUGUAUUGUGUGUUCUUUCUCUGUCUAGCAUGUAUGUUUGUUUCUCAUCAUAGUGUCUAUUGUUUGUUUCUCAUCACUCUGUUUCAUGUUUGAUUCUCAUCAUAGUAUGUAUUGACUCAUGUAUGAACUGACUCAUUGUAUGUAUCAUUGUUCUAGUAAUAGUAUCUUCCUAAACUACCCCUAUGGUAGCUUACUAGUAAAGUAUGAACAUGUUUGUAUACCCUUGCUACCCAAGGGCAUGGAAUUGAAUGAAAGAAAUAACCUUUUAUAUCUAUAUACAUAUACAUAAUAUAUAACUAGGAUUCAAACGACCUCUGGACAACUAACCUUGAUACCCUAAGACCACAUCAAACAAGAACAGGAAGCAAGGUAGACUAGCAGUCCUAAGUCCUUUCAAUCCUACUUAUAUAACUAUAUUUAUACAGAUACACAUAAUAUAAGUUUAAAAGAGUUUAAGUAAAAGUAUUUGACAAUUAAAGGAGUUUGUAAGACAGUUUGAGGUAAAACAGUUUGAUAAAUAGUUUGGAAAGUAAGAAAACCAUUUGCUUGGUAGUCAUUAAUCACAUGUGAUUGAAUAACUAUAAUUGUUCAACUUGUAUCCCCCCAUAAGAGCAUUUAAAAACAUUUCAAAGGUUAAUUUAGGGGUAUGAACUCACCUGUAGUGAGUGGUUCUGAUGACAAUGUUGGAUCUGUUGCUAAGUGCCAAGUGGUGACUUGAGUACACAUGCGAAUCCUAUUUAGCAUAUAUUGGCACAUAUAUGAAUAUAAUUAGUGUUAUGAAAAACUAAUUUAUGAAUUGGGACCACCUUAGGGACUAGUAAACACUUAUAUUAAAGUGUUACAACCAUAUAUGAUUGUAUGAAGGGUUAUAAGGCUAUACAAGAGAGUGUAUGGCCAAAAUACACACUAUCUGUGUGUGUGCGGCCAGGUGUGCUGCCAGCACGUGUGUGUGGCCCUGUGUGCGGCUAGGAGGCGUGUGCUGCCAGAAAACUUGGUGUUCUUGGUGAAAGAUGUUACCUUUCCGGAUUAUACUUGAGAGGAUUUUCGGGUCCUUGCUUUGUAGAAGUGUAAGAAAUGAUUAAAAUGACUAACGAUAGUAUAUAUAGGAGGGUGAGUGCGGCUGGAGGUGUGUGUGGUUGGCCUGUGUGCGGCUGGCUGGCCGUACACACCAGGUUUGGUGUGUUUGGCCCGUUUUUCCAAUGCUAAACCCAAUCUAACCCAUCCUUCGACACGUAACUCAAAUAUACUAAGCUUUAAGCACUCUUUUAGACCCAAAACUUCAUUAUAAAAUAGAAAAACGAAGCUAACUUUAAUUACAAUGAAGAAUGAAAGCUAGAAAUUUCGGGUUGUCACAUCAUCCCCUCAGAAGGAAUUUUGUCCCGAAAUUAGAAUUUAAGCAAAUAAGUAAUUACAAGUAACUAAGUAAAAAGGUGAGGGUAUUUCAGUUUCAUCUGAUCCUCUCGUUCCCAAGUGAAUUCAGGUUCUCGCUUAGCGUUCCAGCGAACCUUCACUAUCGGGAUACGACUUUGUUUCGUUUGCUUGACCUCUCGGUCCAUGAUCUCUACUAGUUCUUCUACGAAGUUGAGGUUCUCGUUAAUAUGGAUCUCGUCGAGUGGGAUUACAAGAGUCUCAUCGGACAGACACUUUUUCAAGUUCGAUACAUGGAAGGUAGAAUGUACGUUACUAAGUUCGAUCGAUAGAUUGAGUUUGUAAGCUACUGGGCCGAUUUUGGAAAGAAUCUCGAAAGGCCCAAUGUACCUUGGAUUUAGCUUUCCCCGCUUUCUAAAGCGUAUCAAGCCCUUCCAGGGUGAGACCUUCAAUAAAACACGGUCGCCCACCUGGAAUUCCAACGGUUUUCUACGUUUAUCGGCGUAGCUUUUUUGUCGGUCUCUGGAGGUUUUCAAUCGUUCGCGGAUCUGAACGAUCUUCUCCGUCGUUUCCUGUAUGAUAUCCGGACCUGUGAGAGUGCUUUCAGGAACCCGUCCUUUAGCUAACUGGGUAUCACCCACCUCAACCCAGCACAGAGGGGAUCUGCACUUGCGACCAUAGAGGGCCUUGAAUGAUCAGCCUUUAUGCUUGUGUGAUAACUAUUGUUGUAGGAAAAUUCGACAAGGGGUAAAUGAGUAUCCCAUGCCUUCCUAAAGUCGAUCACACAGGCUCGCAACAUAUCUUCCAAGGUUUGAAUAGUCCUCUCACUUUGUCCGUCUGUCUGCGGAUAGUAGGCUGUACUCAUGUCCAACCUAGUUCCUAGGGAACUCUGUAGCGACUGCCAAAACCUAGAAGUGAACCUACUAUCUCUGUCCGAUAUAAUGGAUAUGGGAACACCGUGCAAUCGUACUAUCUCCCUAAUGUAAGUUCUUGUAAGUUUCUCCAUCUUUUCUGUUUCCUUGAUAGGUAGGAAGUGCGCGGACUUGGUCAAUCUGUCGACGAUGACCCAUAUGGUAUCAAGUCCACCCGUUGUCUUGGGCAACUUGGUAAUGAAAUCCAUAGUGAUCCGCUCCCACUUCCAUUCCGGGAUUUCAGGCUGUUGCAGGAGGCCUGAGGGUUUCUGGUACUCGACCUUGACCUUUGCGUAAGUAAGGCAUUUACUCACAACGGUAGCAAUCUCUGCUUUCAUGUUAGGCCACCAGUAUAACUUUUUAAGAUCCAGAUACAUCUUAUCUGAACCUGGGUGGACGGAAUAACGAGUGUUGUGCGCGUCGUUCGUGACCAAGUCUCUGAAACCACCAAGUUUUGGGGUCCAGAUCCGGUCCACGAAAUAAUAAGUUCUGCCACCCUUAACCUAAAAGUUCUUAUCCAUCUCUCCCAGGGAUUCACCCGCCACAUUUUCGGGCUUCAAGGAGUCAAGCUGAGCUUCCUUAAUUUGUGUGGACAAGUGUGAAUGGAUAAACAUAGUCAAUGAUUUGACUCUACGACCAGAAUAUUCUUUCCGACUUAGGGCGUCAGCUACUACAUUGGCCUUACCGGGAUGAUAACGAAUUUCGCAUUCGUAGUCACUGAGUAGCUCGACCCACCGUCGUUGUCUCAUGUUGAGCUCCUUCUGGUCGAAUAUGUGUUGUAGGCUCUCGUGGUCUGUAAAGAUUGUGCUCUUCGUUCCGUACAAAUAAUGUCUCCAAAUCUUCAGAGCAAAUACAACUGCUCCUAGUUCAAGAUCGUGGGUCAUGUAGUUGACCUCAUGUGUCUUCAGCUGUCUCGAGGCAUAGGCAAUGACCUUGCCUCGCUGCAUCAGAACACAUCCGAGUCCUUGAUUCGAUGCAUCAAAAUAGACAACGAAGUCUUCUAUUCCUUCGGGAAGGGAUAGUAUUGGCGUGGUGCACAAGGCUCGUUUGAGCGUUUGGAACGCUCUCUCCUGCUUUUCUUCCCAGUCAAAGGAUACGCCCUUCUGGGUAAGUGUUGUAAGAGGCUUCGCUAUGCGGGAGAAGUUCUGAAUAAAACUGCGAUAGUAGCCAGCGAGGCCUAGAAAUUGACGAAUUUCUGUUGGCGUCUUCGCUGCUGACCAGCUCUUAAUGGCUUUAAUUUUGGAAGGGUCCACGUGUAUUCCCUCUUCGCUAACCACAUGACCUAAGAAUUCUACUCGGCGGAUCCAAAAUUCGCAUUUCGAGAACUUUGCAUAAACCUUCUCCGAACGUAAUGUCUCUAGGACUUGAUGCAGAUGUUGGCUAUGUUCCUCCUUACAUCGAGAGUAGAUAAGUAUGUCAUCGAUGAAGACGAUGGCGAACUGAUCCAAGUAAGGGCGACACACCUUAUUCAUUAAAUCCAUGAAUACUGCGGGUGCGUUUGUUAAUCCGAACGGCAUCACUACGAAUUCAUAGUGCCCAUAACGAGUUCGGAAGGCUGUCUUCGGAACAUCCUCCCUUAGCACUUGUAGUUGGUGAUAUCCGGAUCUUAAGUCGAUUUUUGAAAAGAAGUUCGCCCCUUGAAGUUGAUCGAAUAAAUCAUCUAUCCUUGGCAAAGGAUAACGAUUCUUAACGGUUAGUUUGUUGAGUUCCCUGCAGUCGAUGCACGUUCGAAACGAUCCGUCUUUCUUCUUGACGAACAAGACUGGGGCUCCCCAGGGUGAGAAGCUUGGUCUUAUAAAUCCCUUGCUGAGCAAUUCAUUAAGUUGACAGGAUAGUUCUUGCAUCUCUGCAGGUGCUAGAUGAUAAGGCGAUUUGGCUACAGGGGUAGCCCCUGGAACGAAGUCGAUUCUGAACUCGACUUGUCUUUGCGGAGGUAAUCCUGGUAGUUCUUCUGGAAAAAGGUCGAGAAAGUCGCGUACUACUGGAAUGUUCUGAAUAGAUUUCGUUUCUUGGCUCACAUCGACCAAAUGAGCGAGGAAUGCACGACAUUCCUUUCGCAAGAAUUUCUGAGCUUGAAUGCUCGAGAUGAUACAAAGGUUCGUGCCAGGUUUGUCGCCAUAAACUACUAGGGUUUCGCCAGACGAAAGAUUAAGGUGGACAACCUUUUUGUAACACAUGAUGUUGGCACGCUGAAGACUCAACCAAUCCAUGCCAAUGAUGACGUCGAAACUUUUAGUUGAGACUGGCAUGAGAUCGAUCGAGAAUGAAUGACUAGCUAAAGUUAAAGUACACCCUAUGUAUAUGCAGCUAGUGCUCUCUAUCUUCCCAUUAGCCAUUUCUACUGUGAACGGUUCUUUGAGUGCUCGUGAUUUUUGCUUAAGUAAAAGAGCAAAUUUUUGAUUCACGAAGCUUAUCUCCGCUCCACUAUCAAAUAGAAUGCAUGCAUAAGAGUUAUCGAGGAGAAACGUACCAGUGACCAUUGUGGGGUCGGCAAUCGCCUCCUCAUUGCCUAUAGCCAGAACUCUUCAUACUCCACCGGCAUUUCCUGCCUUGGGGCAGUUCCUUUUGUAGUGACCCACAUCGCCACAGUUGUAGCAAGAUUGGCCCACUCCAGCGCCGGGGACUUGGGUGAUUGGCCUCGCCGGAGCUUUGCAAAAACGGGUAGUGUGCCCCUUCCUGUUGCAGUUUACACACUGCAUUUCCCAACAGGCUCCCACAUGGUGGUAGUUACAUUUGUUGCAAAGCAGCAAACUUACAAAAUACUGCUUUAAUGGAAUAGCAGUAAUGGCAGGUGCCAUAGCAGCAUGAACUGCCACGAUCUGUUGUUUCUUGGCAGCCUUAUUCUUUUUCUUGUCAUCCCAGAAUUUCCGCUUGGACUCUGCGGUUCUGGUGGGUUCUGAGAUGGCUAGGGUGGUUGUUGCUGCCGGAGUACGGACCCCGUGGUCAAUUAGUUAUUGUGCCAAUCCCCAUAUAAACCUUUCGACCUUCUUUCCCUCUAUAUGAAUCAUAUUGGAACAGAGGGACACCAGUUCACAGAACCUGGCGGUAUAUGCGACGAUGUUGGAGCUCUUCAUGGUUAGGCGCCAAAGUUCUUCCUCCAGCUUUUGAAUCUUGCCCCUCAGGCAGUACUCCUCACUCAUGAGGUCUUUCAUAGUAUCCCAGCCCAUAUCAUUUGCCACUGGGAGAGAUAGGGACUUAACAUGGCCAUUCCACCACGUUAGGGCUUUUGUUUCAAAGGUGCAAGCUGCGAGCUUCACCUUGCUCCCUUCUGGACAGGAGCAGAUUGCGAAAACCGAUUCGGUUUUCUCAAACCAUUGCGAGAGUACAAUGACUCUGUCAGUUCCUUUAAAGGACAAUGGCUUGCAGUUCGUGAAAUCUUUGUAGGAGAACUCUUUCGAGUGCACAGGGGUUUCAACUUGUAUAGUUGGAAUAGGAGUCCCUCCUCCAGUGGAACUUGGGGAAUGAUAUUCAGCCAUGGCUGUUGCCACAGCUGCAGCUACAGCAGCAUUGAGGGCUGCUGUAUCAAAUUGAGGAAUAGGUGGUGGUGGAGGAUUGUUUCUUGGUGAUUUGCGUGGAGGCAUCUUUUAACUGAAAGUUUAGAAAGGUACAAAUAUUGAUAAGAAUUUGAUAGGAAAAUUGAUGAGAAUGACACAUGGACUAACUCUCCAUAGCCCAACAUCAUAAUUGAAUGAAUACGAUUGAAUGAAGACGAAAGCAAUUUGGAUAAUAAUUUCCAUUAGAUUAGACAUCUUUCAAAGAUAAUGGAAUUACAGAUGUAAUAAGUUUUGAAAAAAUGACCUAGAAGUAGGUCUUACAUCAACCAAGAUGGAAAAUUUUGACAGAACUAUGACUUAAUUAAGACCUAACAGGUCUAAGAUUUACAAGGAUAGGAAAUUAGCCUAAAGUUUUACAUAACUAUGUUAUAUCCAAAUGAAAAGUUAAUAGGAUUCUAUCGGCGACGAGAACUGCUAGAGUGAGUCCUCGAAUCCGACAGAAGGCGCUCGAUGUCCCUUAAACGCCUACCCGAUCUUGCUUGCUGAGCUCGAAGUUCCCUGACUUCAGCUUGGGUUUCAGCAAGCUCCCUCUGAAGCAUUGCAUUGCUGACAUGAGCUCUUUCCUGAGCAGACUCUAGUUGGCGAAUGUGGAUAGUGUUAACACCAGUGUUGGCAUCAAUCUCCAAGAUUCGAUUGAUAGAUGAUUGCCCCACUAUCGUGUUCUGAGACAUCCUACUAACUAUGAUGGGUAGGACUCUGUCAGCAGAACCUCCAUCAGUGAGGUUAUAGAAACUUCUGUCUCCAUUGUAGGGAAUAGGUUGACCUUGUUCAUGGCUCCAGGUAUUCAAGUUUGUUGCCCAUAGAGGUGUGGGUCCUUGAAAUGCGAGUCGGGGGUUGUUAUUCGGAGCUUGACCUACUUGAGGUAGGUUGUUGACUUCAGGCUCUGAGUCAGAACCAUCAGAAAAGCCUUCAGCUUCAUGAUCAUCCAAGGGUAUUGGGUGAUCAUCUUCCGGUUCAUCUUCUAGCCAUCCUGCAUUGCCGUGGUUGGGGAAGUACGAAUCUCCGGGGAUAUGGAAUCCAACCAUUUAAUCUAUGCGAGAAUAGGGACAAACAAAUAAGUAAUAGACAAACUAACUAGAUAAUUAUUAGAUGAUCUUUAUCACUUACUCCAAUACUUGUUUUGUGCAUACCAGCUAUAUGUACUCAUGACAGGAUAGCCCUUCGAAUAAGUGAAUCCUAACUUUAAGCCCACAAUCAAACAAGAACAGGAAGUAAAGCAAAGAUUUACAGAUUCUAAGGCUAUGACAUCCUAGGAAAAUAUACCCGUAAUGUAUCCACUAAGCAACUAUUGACAUACUAAUAAAGACCUUUAAUUCUCAGAUAAGUGAUUAUUGUAACACAAAAUACUCCUAUAGUAUUUUAAGUUUAAUGUUAUGUUCUACUAUUCUUUUUGUAGUAGUGUUGGUAAGUUUUUAGACUUGUUGCAACCUCACAACCAUACUUAGGCACAUGCUAGUCACUCCUCAGAUAAUGUAGUUGAUCAGGCUACAUCUUCCCAGGGUUGACCAUAUGUCUCUAAGUCUACUUGUGCUGUCCAACAAUCGUAAUACUUUUGUUCUGUCCUAGUGACACUGAUUUUAGUAUGAAUGCAUGUAUGUAUACUUGGUUAAAUAUUUUAUUAUUUAAAAGUAUAGACUCUUUAUCAGAGUAAUUUAAAUCCCGCUUGUGUUUAUAGUUCGUAUAUCUUUUAUGGGUUGAUACACUCGAUUCACUAUAAACAAUGCUCUGAUACCAAUCUGUCACACCCCCAAAACCGAUGAACAACGGAAACGUUCUGGGGUGGAGGACGUCAUGUAUAGUAUCACAACAAUGCAAAGUAGUAAACAAGCAACAACAUCAUCCAUUGCAUUAAUAGUAUAAUUUCAUACAAGUGUGUUUUGUCAAGUUUUAUAGACAUCAAAAGUUAUAUACAUCAAAAUAAAAGAGGAGUCUUGAACUAGCUCCUUCUUCUCAAAACCUGGCACCUGUACCUGUCUACUGGCGACCUGAGAAUACAAGUUAUUUUGAAAGCGAGUAUUAGCUUUAGAGCUGGUGAGAUCAUAAGUAUAUUAGUUUCUGUGUUUGUAUGAAAUCAUUUGUAAGAUGUUUUGUAAGAUGUACUGUGUAUGUUUGUAAAAGUUUUGUAUUUGAUUGAACUCUCCUAGAAAACCCUAUGUUUUCUACUAAAAGUAGCCUUCUACCAAGGCAUCUAGUAUUUGUGUGUGUGUCACUUGUAAAAGUGUGUAUUUUCCCAAAUCCGACUAUCAUUAACCAAAAAUAUAGUUUUUACAUUAUUGUUUAUUGUGUGAACAUCACAAAGUAAAAAGUAAGGCAAAAUGUUAUAGCACUGCAAUGUAGUAAAUUGUAACUACUGCUGUACUAACUAUNUACUAACUACCUUAAACCAAAUGUAAAUUUUAAGGUAACAUGUGAUCGGCCUGUAUCUUGCUACCGACUUAGCUGAAAAACGACAAUGUAAGAUGCCGUAAAAAUGACGUUUGGCACCCGUAGACUUGCAAGUCCCACUGUAGCGAGCAACAAGGUGUAGGAUAGUCAAUCCAGUAUAGAUCUAUACGCAAACUCAAUAUGCUCUCCAAUGAAGGAGAUUUUGAUAGAAAAAUAGUCAUGGCAGGUAGUGCCAUGCCCUGCUUAAUGGCUCACAUAAAUGUGGUUAAUGUAUAUGAAAUGUGAUUUGUGUGCUAGCUGUAUUGUGUGUUCUUUCUCUGUCUAGCCUGUAUGUUUGUUUCUCAUCAUAGUGUCUAUUGUUUGUUUCUCAUCACUCUAUUUCAUGUUUGAUUCUCAUCAUAGUAUGUAUUGACUCAUGUAUGAACUGACUCAUUGUAUGUUUCAUUGUUCUAGUAAUAGUAUCUUCCUAAACUACCCCUAUGGUAGCUUACUAGUAAAGUAUGAACAUGUUUGUAUACCCUUGCUACCCAAGGGCAUGGAAUUGAAUGAAAGAAAUAACCUUUUAUAUCUAUAUACAUAUACAUAAUAUAUAACUAGGAUUCAAACGACCUUCG